rnacentral:rRNA from 1 species
CGAAGUCUUUGAUUCCCCGCUGCCAAGAAAAGCUUCUAGCGAGAUAAAAGGUGCCUGUACCGCAAACCGACACAGGUAGGCGAGGAGAGAAUCCUAAGGUGUGCGAGAGAACUCUGGUUAAGGAACUCGGCAAAAUGACCCCGUAACUUCGGGAGAAGGGGUGCUUUCUUAACGGAAAGCCGCAGUGAAUAGGCCCAAGCGACUGUUUAGCAAAAACACAGCUCUCUGCGAAGCCGUAAGGCGAAGUAUAGGGGGUGACACCUGCCCGGUGCUGGAAGGUUAAGGAGAGGGGUUAGCGUAAGCGAAGCUCUGAACUGAAGCCCCAGUAAACGGCGGCCGUAACUAUAACGGUCCUAAGGUAGCGAAAUUCCUUGUCGGGUAAGUUCCGACCCGCACGAAAGGUGUAACGAUUUGGGCACUGUCUCAACCAGAGACUCGGUGAAAUUAUAGUACCUGUGAAGAUGCAGGUUACCCGCGACAGGACGGAAAGACCCCGUGGAGCUUUACUGUAGCCUGAUAUUGAAUUUUGGUACAGUUUGUACAGGAUAGGCGGGAGCCUUUGAAACCGGAGCGCUAGCUUCGGUGGAGGCGCUGGUGGGAUACCGCCCUGACUGUAUUGAAAUUCUAACCUACGGGUCUUAUCGACCCGGGAGACAGUGUCAGGUGGGCAGUUUGACUGGGGCGGUCGCCUCCUAAAGUGUAACGGAGGCGCCCAAAGGUUCCCUCAGAAUGGUUGGAAAUCAUUCGUAGAGUGCAAAGGCAUAAGGGAGCUUGACUGCGAGACCUACAAGUCGAGCAGGGACGAAAGUCGGGCUUAGUGAUCCGGUGGUUCCGCAUGGAAGGGCCAUCGCUCAACGGAUAAAAGCUACCCCGGGGAUAACAGGCUUAUCUCCCCCAAGAGUCCACAUCGACGGGGAGGUUUGGCACCUCGAUGUCGGCUCAUCGCAUCCUGGGGCUGUAGUCGGUCCCAAGGGUUGGGCUGUUCGCCCAUUAAAGCGGUACGCGAGCUGGGUUCAGAACGUCGUGAGACAGUUCGGUCCCUAUCCGUCGUGGGCGUAGGAAAUUUGAGAGGAGCUGUCCUUAGUACGAGAGGACCGGGAUGGACGCACCGCUGGUGUACCAGUUGUUCUGCCAAGGGCAUAGCUGGGUAGCUAUGUGCGGAAGGGAUAAGUGCUGAAAGCAUCUAAGCAUGAAGCCCCCCUCAAGAUGAGAUUUCCCAUAGCGUAAGCUAGUAAGAUCCCUGAAAGAUGAUCAGGUUGAUAGGUUCGAGGUGGAAGCAUGGUGACAUGUGGAGCUGACGAAUACUAAUAGAUCGAGGACUUAACCAUAUAA